rnacentral:lncRNA from 1 species
CUUUAAGACAUUUUAGAAUUGUUUCUUACCAUUGUCUUUUACUUCCUGGGCUCUUCAAUGUUUGUCAUAAUUAUACCUAGUUAGAAGGCUUCAUUUGCUCUGAGUUAUCAUUGAGAACUAAAUGGAGAAGAAAAGAACUGAAGGCCUGAAGAUAUGUCAUCUGUAGAAAAGGUGAGCUGAACUUUUCUCUGUCUGAACAUACUUUGGGUUUACAAUGAGACAUUUACGUAUUUGUAUAAAUCGGUUAUACUCUGAGCUAAUGUGAACACAAACUUGGUAUAAAUACAGAUGACUCCCUCUCUGCUGCUGUGGGAGGUUCAACUGACACCUGGGGCUCAGACCAGUCUUGUUACCACAUGCUUGGUGAAAUUCAAAGUGUGUCACACAACUACAACAGCAUUCAUGGCCAACCUAUUUGGUAGAAAGGAUUGAAGUCAGAUGGGAGGUCAAUUUGCUGUCUAAAUCAAAAAAACUUAGCUCCUUUGCAGAUAAUUGAAGAUGCUGCAACAUUGCCCGAAAACAUUUUAUAAUAAACAGGUGAAAUAAGUGAUAAUGAAGGUGGGUUUGGAUUUUUUAUUUUAGAAGGAGAAAUUUCAUAGAAAAUAUGAAUCCUUGUCUCAUGAUUAGUGUCUCUCUGCAACAGCCCCAUCCUUCUGCAGGUGGCCUCUUCUCAAGCUUUCUUGGCAAAUCAAGAGCUUCUGCCUUUUGGAGGACAUCCUCUUGACCUCCCACCCAUAUCAGCUCUUAGAGGACAUUCCACAGGAACAUUGCCUUCUUGUCCUCCAGUAUUUUUUAUGGAAACAGAAAUUAGGUUAUCUUCCUUAUGCUCUAGAUGGACAUCUGAAAUCAUCAAACCCUUGAGAGAAACAGCCCUCAUUCUUUUAUGAGACAACCUGGAAGAAAACAGGUGACUCUGAAGAUUUGUCUCCAUAUUCUCUGGAAAGAUGUACUCUGUUUGCAAUAAGAGGGAGCCACAUGGUUUAUUAGAUGGUUAUUAAUUGAGCAUUCUGUGCAAAGAAGUUUGUGCCUUAGAGAACCCAUGGCAUUCACAGCUGAGGAAGAGUCCAAGGAAGGGGGGUAAGGGGGAGGAGCUGAAACACCUUCCCUGUCUCAGUUUGACCUAGAAUAUUCAGAAUCAAAACUGAUCAACAUCUCCUGUCACUGAACUCUUACUAGUUGGGCCCACACUGCUUCAGCUUUAUCAUCCCAAGUCUUACUGGCUGCUUCUGAGUCUUGCAGGCAGAGCUAGGGACCAGGACACCACCAGGGUGAUCCCAAAUCAUCACAUAUGAGAGGCACAUUUACAGACACGGAUUUCCUGCAAAGCCUACCAGAUGAGCCCCCAGCCCCUUCCAGUCCCAUUUCAUUAUGCUCACUCCAGAGCAGCCUUCUUUACCACACAGCUUAGCAAUUGAAAGUAAAUAUGUUGGGAAGGAAAGAAAAAAUAUUCCUGAAAGUCCUAUGUCUUGUUCUCCUGCGCUUAAUCGGGUUUAGUAAAUCUGUUACCCUGAUCAUCCCCUUGAAUUUCUAAACUAGAUUCUUCAAAUCUGCCCAAUCUCUAUGUCUUUGUCUUGAGAUAGGAACAAUGUUUCUUGCUUGCUCAGACUGCAUUGAGCUGUUGGGUAUCAACCAUGGAAUACCAAGUGGCUUUUGCAUUUCCCUGCUAAUAAUAGUUUGCAUUCGAUGCAUCUUUCUGGAAGGUUCAAACCUUGCCAUAAAUAAAAAGUUACUGAUUACAAUAUUUAUGUUUAAGGCAAUAUUGGGAUUUUCCAAAGCCUCUCAGUUGUUUUGGGCUCAACUUUUAUAGAGCUUCUCUGAAACAUGCUCGUUUACUCAUUCUUCUAGAUUUAGAAUUCCACCCUCAGUUGGAAUACAGAUGAUCCCUAACAAGUCACAUGAAAAAAUGAACUGUGGAGCCAGAAGAGUGAGUUCUUGGAGAACUAAGGGCCAGAGACCUGUGAGCAAGAUUUGAUAAUUUUAUAAAAAUUAAAAGACGAUUUGAAAUGUUAUUGGUCUUACUAAAACUUUUACUUGUGAACUGCAAUUGAUGACAUGAUCACUUGUGCCAAUUAUAAUUUUAUACCAAAGGACUGCAGAGCAUUGGAUGGGUUUGUUGGGCAGGUUUCUCACAAACGCUGACAGAAAGGUAUGACGAAGGAUGGGAGGACAAACUGGGGGGGUGCCAAGUAGAAAAACAGAAGCGAUGGCUAAGUGCUCGUCCUGGACUCUGCCCUUUGAUAAGGGACUGAAGGUCCCUUAUGAUCUUCUUUCAAAUUCCACCGUCACAGUUUUAGUCACAUCCAUCUAUAAUAUUAUUUACUAUCAGACUUUUCUUUAAAUUGACUCGCUUUUUCACUUUAGCCUUAUCCCAAGCAAGAAAGCCAGCCAGUGGAAGAGUUUAGCCCCCACAAAAGCAAAAAGCACCCAGCAAAUCAAGCAUUUUCUUGCAGACUUGUGCUAAUUUUGUUUAUUUGUUUAUUACAAGGUGCUCUAAACCUCCUGGGGUAUUCCACAGCUUUAAUGACUAUGUGUAACACCACCUAGCUAACACUGCUUUUCCAUUCAGUCAACUCAGUCUCACAGCAGUCCUCACAACUACGUGGUUUCAGGUAUUAUUUUACAGAGGAGGCUGGAGCUUUGGGAAGUUAAGUGGCUUGCCUACAGUCACAAAGCCAAUACGAAGAGGACCUGAAACUCAGAUCUUUUUUCCCUCCCAGUUUGGGAUUCUUGCUAUCACCCUAUCACACUUCUAGACCUGUAUCUCUUGCAUCUCUAUCGUUCUUUCCUCAAGUCAACAUACAUUUCUCCAGAGUCCUAAUGUCCUUCAUCUUACCUUGGCACAAUAAGCAAUUCAUUGGGACUUUUCCGCUUUGGAUUUGUUUUGUCUUUCUCAUUCUUUUGAGGCUGCAGAUUAGCAUUUUGGCUAAUCACUUGGGUAUUAAAAGUUAGACCCUCUGGGCCUAAAUCCUAGAACUACUCCUUGCUAGCUAUGCCAACAUUAGCAAGUUGCUUAACCUCUCUGUGUCUCACUUACCUCAUCUGCAAAAUGGAAAUUGAAAUAGUCUUCGUAGGUAAUGAUAGCCUUGAAGGCCUUACAGGAUUAUUUUGAGGAUUAAAGGACACAAUGGUUGUAAAGUACUUAAGUAUCAUGCCACGCAAUUAAUGUUAGAUAUAAUUUUGAGUGUUUUCUCUUUUUUCACCCCUUUAAAAAAUCUUCUUUUGAAUUCAGGAUUCCUUUUCCCCAUAUAUUUUUAUGGUGAAUGAGAAUAUCGGCUUAGGGUCUACUCUGUUCAUCUCUUGAAAACGACAUUAUACUUUUUCUUCUAAAAAAUGAUACAAAGAGAAUCCCCAGCCUUUUCCCCCUCUCCCUGUGGCUACAGUUUUCCCAUCAUUUUAAAAGGUUAUUUCUUUUCUUCAUAGCACAAUGUGGUGGGAUGAAGGGGAAAUGGUUUAGAAAAUUUUAAAUUGAUGUAUCUUAUUUGUUUCCCCCAGUUAUAUUGAAAAGAAGAAAAUCUCUCCAGUUUCAGAAACACUGGCCUUUUGGAUACUGAGGAGUUGGAAAUGGAAAGGGGAUUUUAAUGAGUUUCUCGGCAAUGAGGCUAGAGAAAAUAUUAUCCAUCUCCCCCUGUUCUCCAAUUCAGCAGCUCGGACUCCUGUUUUCAUCACAGUCCUGUUAGAUAAUUACAGCCCCAAAGGCCUCCUGUUCCUUCUUUCUGUGUUCCCUGAAUCUUCUUUCCCAGAGCCAGGACCUCUUGGAAAUUCUCAGCCUCUGUUAGUUGCCCGCUCUGGGAGCCCGACUCCUCACAUCCGUCAUCUCUUUCUUCUCCCCCUUCACCUGCUGUAGUGUCCCCACUGUCUCUCUUUACCUCAGCUCCUUACCAUUCCUUUCCCUCUACACCCUUUUCCUUUGGUUCAUAGUCAGGAUGUGCUAGUUGCAUUCAAGCCCUUUUUGAUACUAAGAAUUCAGGGGGACAAAUCCAAACCCUGGAGACUACUGUCUUCCCCUUAGUGAUGCUAAUGAAUAUAAUUCCUGAUCUGAAAUUACCUGCACUUUAUUUGGCUCCAUCUACUUUUCUGCCACUUACUCCCUGUAUAACCAUAGGCUACGUACCCUACCUCUCUCUGGGUUUGUUUACUCCUCAGUUAAAAGGAGGAUUAAAAUGGCAAUCACAACACCUUGCUACAGAUAUGUUAGGAAGAUUAAAUGGGAUAACAUGCAGGGUGCCUAGCCUUCCUGGCAUAUAGUAAAUGCCUAUAAAAUAUAACAAGUGUCAUGUAUUAUUAUUAAAUUGUAUCUACCUGGUAGAAACUAAUGGAGUGG